CGGAGAAAAAAAUCUGCAUCAACUACAAAGUAAAGCAGGUCACAGGUGAUGAGAUGGCAGUGUAAACUCUGCAAACAUGAGGAGUCAUCAAAAGUGUCACUACUCAAACAUUAUCGAGUGAAACAUGGUCUCACAGUUCGCAUGAAACGGAGGGCUUCACAGACCGGAGUUUUCCGCCUGUUCCCC